rnacentral:lncRNA from 1 species
UUUUAUUAAAUAUGUAUAAAUUAUUAAUUAGAACUUAACUUGAAAAAAUUAGGAUCCCGACUCAUAAGCUUGAAAUCAUGGUUCCCCUCUAACUCUACUAAAGCCAAAAGAAAUAACCGUAUUACAAAUCUUUACCUUGACCUAAAUUUAGCAAAGGAAAUAAAAUUGUUGCACCUUUAUGCAAGACCCCUUAUAGGCUAAAUCUAAAAAGAUGUCAUCAGAGCUGAAUCUGACCGGAUUAAAAGAUAAUGAACGAGGAAUAUGAUGUUACAAAAAAGAAGUAAAAUUAGGUUUUAUUUUAUAUUUCUCAAAUAAAUUUUAAUUUGAAGUAGCUACAUAAAGUAUAAUCAAAUUUAUUAGGAUGAAGGUAACUCGAUUAGGCCGGCUCUUGGGUUGUACCAAUUCGUUAGGGUUUGGCCCAUAAGAACUUUUAAAGAGAGGUGCAACAAAUUUGCUAUAUU